rnacentral:rRNA from 1 species
UACGUAGGUGGCAAGCGUUGUCCGGAUUUAUUGGGUUUAAAGGGUGCGUAGGCGGUUUUGUAAGUCAGUGGUGAAAUACUCUAGCUUAACUAGAGGGGUGCCAAUGAUACUGCGGAACUUGAGUACAGAUGAGGUAGGCGGAAUUGACGGUGUAGAGGUGAAAUUCGUAGAUAUUAGGAAGAACACCAGUGGCGAAGGCGGCUCACUGGCCCGGUACUGACGCUGAGGUACGGAAAGCGUGGGGAGCAAACAGG